AACCUUCGCAAUGCGCGCAAGCGCGACGAGGGGAACUCGAGUGCCAUUGCCAUUUUUGGUGAUGGCUUUUCUUGAUCCUAAAAAGAUCAGGGAAUAAAAGCUGGGUAAGACGGGUGCCAGCCGCCGCGGUAAUACCCGCAGCUCAAGUGGUGGCCACUAUUAUUGAGCCUAAAGCGUCCGUAGCCGGUCUUGUAAAUCUCUGGGUAAAUCCUGCCGCUUAACGGUGGGAAUACUGGAGAGACUGCAAGACUGGGGAUCGGGUGAAGCGAGAGGUACUCCUGGGGUAGGGGUAAAAUCCUGUAAUCCUGGGGGGACGACCGGUGGCGAAAGCGUCUCGCUAGAACGACUCCGACGGUGAGGGACGAAGGCUAGGGGAGCAAACCGGAUUAGAUACCCGGGUAGUCCUAGCUGUAAACGCUGCACACUUGGUGUUGCCCCUUCUUAGGGAAAGGGCAGUGCCGGAGCGAAGGUGUUAAGUGUGCCGCUUGGGGAGUAUGGUCGCAAGGCUGAAACUUAA
rnacentral:rRNA from 1 species